CGUAAAUGCAUGGAGAAGAAGAGAAUGAAUUCCAAAACCUAGCUUGAUCUUCUUUCUUUGAUAACUUUUGAUCCGGAGCUCCGAUUGACGAGCCGUUUGCGGCCACGCGUCGGACUCGUUGAGUUCUUCAAUUCUAUUCAAAUAAAACAGGGUCCACUAGACUUGAUUUCUUGUGGGUAUUGCCCAAGGAUCAGUGGGUAAAGGUAGUGUGUAUGUGAAUGUUGAUGCUUGUUGGAGGCUUGUUGGUGAUCAAGCUUGGUUUGGGGCUGUUUGAUUGAGCUUGGAGGGGCUGUAAUUUUGAGUUGUGAGGCUGCCUUGGGUGAAUUAAGUGAUUGGCCAAGGUAUGGUUUAAGUUUCGCACGUUUAAUAUUUACGGUGUUGUGAAAACUUAGGUUAGAGGAACCAUAGAAUAAGUUGGAUUGUUUGUUGUAUUUAAUGAUUAGCCUUAUAAUAUUGUUAGAAUAGAUUUUUUAGUGAAUUUAUAUAUUAGAAUUAUGAGGUGUGAAAGUUAUUAAUGGUGUGCUCUUAUAUUUAUUUAUGAUGGAUUAGAAUUGGUGUUUGUUAAUAAGGAUGUAGAGUUGUGUUGUGGUGGUAUUGUAUAUGCUGUAACUAAUUAUGUAAUGAUCGGAAUUGCAUGAGACCAAGUUUGGGCUAAAUUU